AAGCGCCCUCCGGCUUCGAGGAUGAAUGAAACGUCUCUACGCUCACUCCGCCCCAUCCCUCUACACAGAGCACAUCAGCAGCACUUUAUUCUCCAGCGUGUACCUCCUCUACACACCAGUGUAAAAAUCACCAUGCACAAAAAAGCUGUGUUUUUCCCAGGAUGCGUUAAGGUCGUGUUCCGUAAGGGACCACUCGGAUAUCUCCUUCAGGAGCCAGGCUGAUCAAAGACAACCCGUUUCUGCAGGACAAGUCGGCACCGAAGAAGGAGGAGCUUGUCAAAUGAAACGCUCUUGCUGUGGUCUAUCAGAGAGGAGGUGACGCCUUUGACAAAAGAGAUGUCUUUGGUGAAUAUGGCAAUGCUUCCUUUAUAAUGGGGACAACUUGUGUCCCAGGGAUACGGAUGUACAAACUGUAGUAAUACCUCCGGAGCCAGAUGCAGUCAGACUGUCCACCCGUGCCUGCCUCAAGGGCAAUGUCCAAGCCAACGGGCCAGUUGUUUAUUUUUUGCUUGUAUAAAGGAAUUGUUUGCCAUUGUGUCUGAAAUGGAAGACAACAGUGACGAGUUAGAGAGUGCAAUGCUGAACAUCUCCCCCUCCAAAGUACAGUUGCAGUGUAAGUAUUUUUUUCUGUACUGACUGCAUGUCAUUAAUUGAUUGUGAUCCAAAUGGAUUUUCAUUUUGUCAAAUGUCUUAAAAAAUAUGCUGUACAGGUUGUGUUGAGUGUUAAUCACUAGCUACACCACCACCACCGUCAUCGACGUCAUCAUCUUCAGCUGCUGAACUGGGACAGUGUGCUGGAUCAUGAAAAGGUUUUUACACAUUAGGUUCAGAACUGGAGCACAGUUCUGUUAAAUUGUGAUAUGAAAUGCUCUCCAAGUCUGAACAAAAAGGUUUUCUUAUUUUGUCAGUGUUCUGGCCAUGUUCCACUAACAAAUGUCUGUGCCGUUGGCAAUAUACAAUCUGUUCAAGGGGCUAUGAAUUGAUUCCCCAACCAUGAUGAACUGAUAUUAGCCACAAUCAGGGUAAGUACUCAUUUUUUACUGUCAAGUUUUAAAUAUUUCUGUCUACUACCACACGAUGAUGCAUAUGCAAUGAUUAACAUUCCUUGAGUAGGAAUAAUGUAUUUUGUUUAUUUCUACUAUUAAGAUAAGCAAGUAAAGUAAGAAUGGGGUAUUUUGAAAAUUUUAUAUUAUACACAAAUGCCUGACAAGAUUUUGUAUCUUUCAGUGCUGUCUGUUGCCCUCUCCGUACCUCCUGACACCAAGCAACUGCCACCAGUCGAUGCACCAGCCUCACCAGCCCAGAAAAUGCGCGGGACCCUUCCCAAAUAUUAUUAUAUAUAUUAAUAAUAUUAAUAUUUAUAAUCUCAUAUAACAAUAAUUGCUCACAGAGAAAUUGUACUCUGUUUUAGCAGACAGCAGCACUGUAGAAAGCUCUCCAGUGUGCAGAACACCAAUUAAAGAUGAAAAUCUCUCAUCUUCAGAGAUCACUUCAUACAGUGUUCCACAUGCAGCUGAGGAAUCACAUAGGAAUCAGAUUGGAGCUGUGCACUUAUGUCAUUGAAGUUGUUUUUCUCUAUCACAAUUUUAAAUGUCCUUUAAAUUAUCAUUUGUCUUUCAGCCAAAGUCUCGCUAUUGGAACGAUGGCUCCUCUGUCCACUUUUUUUUUCCAUCAACAAGGCCCCAUUAGAUACUUCUACUGUUCCACAAAGGUCUUCAAAGCUUAUGCCAGGUUCACACUGCACGAUUUUUAGUCAUCGGAUCACGGUUGUUUUCACACUGCACGACUAUCUAGGGUAGCAUUCAGUCGCUUCUGUGCUCACACUGCACGAUGGAUCGGCGACAGGAGCUUUCACACUGCAUGACUACACAAUAGGAAGACUCGCCGACAUCUUUGUCUGGUAUGGUAUACUCCAGUUGAAGACAUGCUUGCUAAUCUUGUGGUCUAUAACUCCUCCCCGAACUGCCCGCUGCCCUGUAUCUUGCUCUCUCAUUGGCUGUAGGUCAUCACCGAGGUAUGUUUCAGUCAGAGCUCCUUUCACACUGCACGACUCAUCGGCAACUCUGUCAGAUCGAGUUUUAGGUCCUUCACACAGUGCGAUUGUCACUUGCGUGCAUGCUCCGCUUUGUCUUUUGCAAAACUAGUCGGUGACUAAAAAGUCAUGCAGUGUGAACCCGGCAUUACACUGCUGAAGGACUAACAAACCCCAGAUUGCUGUUUCAAGGUUUGAAAAGAAACGGAAUUCUUUCAGAGAGAACGUGCAUCCACAAAGAAACAGGUGGUGGAAAAAAGACCUCAGAAACGCAAGAGGCCUGAAGCUCCCACUGUUGGAUGCCUGUGUAGGCUCUACAAGAUGGAACUAAAGCAGGGUCCAAACAGUCCACAUAUACAUACAGACUUCCCUGGAAUUGUAGUAAAAACUUAACUUUAGAUAUAUUUUGUGUAGAUUUUGUCUUUAUUUUAAUGUGCAUUGAGUUAAUUAGUGUUUAAAGUUUGCAAUUAUAUGUAUAUAUGUGCAGUCUCUGGAGUGUUUUUUCACUAUUGAUUUUUGUCUUAACUGCU